UUAUUACACCUACUGAGUACACUGGCUAGACAGUGCUCUCGACCAAGUACUCGGCAUGUUUAUUAUGGAUGUGCUCGGCUCAGGGCACUGUCUCGCCGCUCUACUCGGUAGGUAAUCCCGCGCAUGAUCAUACUGUA